CGUCGGUCCCCUCGCAACGCGAAACCGUGACCCGGUCAGGCCCGGAAGGGAGCAGCCGCAGCAGUUGAAGCGUGUGCCGGGGUGUGGCUGGCGACG
rnacentral:SRP_RNA from 1 species